CCUACGGGAGGCAGCAGUGAGGAAUAUUGGUCAAUGGGCGGGAGCCUGAACCAGCCAAGUCGCGUGAGGGAAGACGGUCCUAUGGAUUGUAAACCUCUUUAGGCGGGGAGCAAUGCCGGGCACGCGUGCCCGGAGGGAGAGUACCCGCAGAAUAAGCAUCGGCUAACUCCGUGCCAGCAGCCGCGGUAAUACGGAGGAUGCGAGCGUUAUCCGGAUUUAGUGGGUUUAAAGGGUGCGUAGGCGGAUUUUUAAGUCAGCGGUAAAAUGUCGGGGCUCAACCCGGGCCGGCCGUUGAAACUGGGGAUCUUGAGUGGGCGAGAAGUAUGCGGAAUGCGUGGUGUAGCGGUGAAAUGCAUAGAUAUCACGCAGAACUCCGAUUGCGAAGGCAGCAUACCGGCGCCCGACUGACGCUGAGGCACGAAAGCGUGGGGAUCGAACAGGAUUAGAUACCCUUGUAGUC
rnacentral:rRNA from 1 species